rnacentral:rRNA from 1 species
UACGUAGGGUGCGAGCGUUGUCCGGAAUUAUUGGGCGUAAAGAGCUCGUAGGCGGCUUGUCACGUCGAUUGUGAAAGCCCGGGGCUUAACUCCGGGUCUGCAGUCGAUACGGGCUAGCUAGAGUGUGGUAGGGGAGAUCGGAAUUCCUGGUGUAGCGGUGAAAUGCGCAGAUAUCAGGAGGAACACCGGUGGCGAAGGCGGAUCUCUGGGCCAUUACUGACGCUGAGGAGCGAAAGCGUGGGGAGCGAACAGG